rnacentral:rRNA from 1 species
AUACGUAGGGGGCAAGCGUUAUCCGGAUUUACUGGGUGUAAAGGGAGCGUAGACGGUGUGACAAGUCUGAUGUGAAAACCCGGGGCUCGACUCCGGGAUUGCAUUGGAAACUGCCAUACUUGAGUGCAGGAGAGGUAAGCGGAAUUCCUAGUGUAGCGGUGAAAUGCGUAGAUAUUAGGAGGAACACCGGCGGCGAAGGCGGCUUACUGGACUGUAACUGACGUUGAGGCUCGAAAGCGUGGGGAGCAAACAGGAUUAGAUACCCUGGUAGUCCACGCGGUAAACGAUGAAUACUAGGUGUUGGGGGUCUAUAGACCCUCGGUGCCGCAGCAAACGCAAUAAGUAUUCCACCUGGGGAGUACGUUCGCAAGAAUGAAACUCAAAGGAAUUGACGGGG